GGAGCUGUAGGUCGCGAGGAAACGGAGGAAGGCUGGCGAGUCUGGAUGAGAGGACGGCGUCGGAGUCACGGUGGACGUUGUUCGCUCAGCAGGUUAGAGUGUGGGACGGUCUCCACGCUCUUUUUCCCUCUCUCCUCGUGUCUCCUCAUGUGUGAGCUCUGCCGCUGACGUUCUCCACGGCAGCACUGGCUGUGAGCAAGCUCCUGCUAGGAGCUAUGGAUCCUACGAAGCAUCUCUCAACUGCUACGAUGUCCAACCUGAGACACAACUUGAAUCCAACCAGACUGAACACUGACUCCAGGGACAGACGAGCCUGAAGGACACAGCUGUGAUGACCAUGUUCUGUCUCUUUUGGCAAAGCAGACAUAUUGAACACUGGGUUCUUAUCUAAAGUGUAUCAAAUCAGAAAGCAAAAGAUACACAUUGUUCUAAUAAGUGUUUAUUUUUUUAACCAACCAUAAUGAAGAUAGAAAUUAAUUCUUAUCCAUGACACUUAGCAAUGACUGCCACCACAAAACAGUUGCAGGCCAUCUUUAUUUAAAGGAGGAAUUUCAAAGUGUUGUGUAGCUUAUGAUGAUGAUGCAGUCGUCCUCGUGUUGACCAGCAUGAAGCUGCAGAUCUCCACCAUGUUGCUGCUGAAGACAUCAGGUGCUGCAGUUCCUCAUCUAUGAAGAGAAGAAACGCACUGUUAAAGAAUGUUUUAUGUUGUGUAUGAAGCACCACAGAUUUCAGAUAGAACCGAUGUACUGUGGUCAGGGUUUGUAUCCUCAUGGUUAAAUGCACAUAUUUUAAGUCGCUUUGGAUAAAAGUACUGAAAGAAAUACAACAUUGUACAAAUAGAUAAAAUGUCUUUCUACCUCAUCUGUAAUAUUCAAGGUGCUAAUCUCCCACAGAGCUAUCGAUAACAGUCAAUAUCAAGUCUCUCCACUUCCCUAAGUGUGAAAACAUAAUGAUAUAAUUAAUUUGACAACUGUUUACAACACUGAUUUGUGGAGAUUAUAAUCAUAUCUAAACUGUCUAAUUCACUGUAAAACUCCAUGACAGGCUAAAUAAACGAGGUGGGAAUAUUAAUGGUGGAUAUACCAGCCUGUAACAGAAUAAUGGUGAAACAUAGUUACUAUCACAUGCAACUUACACGUGUAGCGUAUUGAUAUUAACUUAUUAAAAUAAAACAAAGU